ensembl:snoRNA U3 Small nucleolar RNA U3
AAGACUAUACUUUCAGGGAUCAUUUCUGUAGUUCGUUACUAAAAACUUCUGCCCUGUUUUAAAAAAUCCAGAUCAACUAUUUGUCAUUUCUUGGU